rnacentral:rRNA from 1 species
GACGAACGCUGGCGGCGUGCUUAACACAUGCAAGUCGAACGGAAAGGCCCUGCUUUUGUGGGGUGCUCGAGUGGCGAACGGGUGAGUAACACGUGAGUAACCUGCCCUUGACUUUGGGAUAACUUCAGGAAACUGGGGCUAAUACCGGAUAGGAGCUCCUGCUGCAUGGUGGGGGUUGGAAAGUUUCGGCGGUUGGGGAUGGACUCGCGGCUUAUCAGCUUGUUGGUGGGGUAGUGGCUUACCAAGGCUUUGACGGGUAGCCGGCCUGAGAGGGUGACCGGCCACAUGGGGACUGAGAUACGGCCCAGACCCCUACGGGAGGCAGCAGUGGGGAAUAUUGCACAAUGGGCGGAAGCCUGAUGCAGCAACGCCGCGUGCGGGAUGACGGCCUUCGGGUUGUAAACCGCUUUCGCCUGUGACGAAGCGUGAGUGACGGUAAUGGGUAAAGAAGCACCGGCUAACUACGU